UACGAAGGGUCCAAGCGUUGUUCGGAAUUACUGGGCGUAAAGCGCGCGUAGGCGGGUUUGAAAGUCGAUUGUGAAAGCCCUGGGCUUAACCCGGGAAUGGCAGUCGAAACUCCAAAUCUUGAGUGCCUGAGAGGAUGGCGGAAUAACCGGUGUAGUAGUGAAAUACGUAGAUAUCGGUUAGAACACCUGAGGCGAAGGCGGCUAUCUGGCGGUGCACUGACGCUGAGGCGCGAAAGCGUGGGGAGCAAACAGG
rnacentral:rRNA from 1 species